rnacentral:rRNA from 1 species
UACGUAGGUGGCGAGCGUUGUCCGGAAUUACUGGGUGUAAAGGGCGUGUAGGCGGGGAUGUAAGUCAGAUGUGAAAUUCCGAGGCUCAACUUCGGACCUGCAUCUGAAACUAUGUCUCUUGAGUGCCGGAGAGGAAAGCGGAAUUCCCAGUGUAGCGGUGAAAUGCGUAGAUAUUGGGAGGAACACCAGUGGCGAAGGCGGCUUUCUGGACGGUAACUGACGCUGAGGCGCGAAAGCGUGGGGAGCAAACAGGAUUAGAUACCCUGGUAGUCCACGCCGUAAACGAUGGAUACUAGGUGUAGGAGGUAUCGACCCCUUCUGUGCCGGAGUUAACACAAUAAGUAUCCCACCUGGGGAGUACGGCCGCAAGGUUGAA